rnacentral:rRNA from 1 species
UCNUCUGGCUUAACUGGGGGCUUGCGGUGGGUACGGGCCGGCUUGAGUGCGGUAGGGGAGACUGGAACUCCUGGUGUAGCGGUGGAAUGCGCAGAUAUCAGGAAGAACACCGGUGGCGAAGGUGGGUCUCUAGGCCGUUACUGACGCUGGGGAGCGAAAGCGUGGGGAGCGAACAGGAUUAGAUACCCUGGUAGUCCACGCCGUAAACGUUGGGCACUAGGUGUGGGGGGCCUUUUCCGGGUUUUCCGCGCCGUAGCUAACGCAUUAAGUGCCCCGCCUGGGGAGUACGGCCGCAAGGCUAAAACUCAAAGGAAUUGACGGGGGCCCGCACAAGCGGCGGAGCAUGCGGAUUAAUUCGAUGCAACGCGAAGAACCUUACCAAGGCUUGACAUGUGCCGGUCGGCUCCGGAGACGGGGUUUCCUCCUUGUGGGGCCGGUUCACAGGUGGUGCAUGGUUGUCGUCAGCUCGUGUCGUGAGAUGUUGGGUUAAGUCCCGCAACGAGCGCAACCCUUGUCCCGUGUUGCCAGCACGUUGUGGUGGGGACCCGCGGGAGACUGCCGGGGUCAACUCGGAGGAAGGUGGGGAUGACGUCAAAUCAUCAUGCCCCUUAUGUCUUGGGCUUCACGCAUGCUACAAUGGCCGGUACAGAGGGCUGCGAUACCGUGAGGUGGAGCGAAUCCCUUAAAGCCGGUCUCAGUUCGGAUCGGUGUCUGCAACUCGACACCGUGAAGUUGGAGUCGCUAGUAAUCGCAGAUCAGCAGCGCUGCGGUGAAUACGUUCUCGGGCCUUGUACACACCGCCCGUCACGUCAUGAAAGUCGGCAACACCCGAAGCCCGUGGCCCUACGGGGA